GAUGAACGCUGGCGGCGUGCCUAAUACAUGCAAGUCGAGCGAACGGACGAGAAGCUUGCGGGUCUGUUGUUAGCGGCGGGCGGGUGAGUCACACGUGGAUACUCUACCUAUAAGACUGGUAUAACUACGGGAAACGGGAGCUUAUACCGGAGAAUAUUCUGAACCGCAGGGUGCAAAAGUGAAAGACGGUCUUGCGGUCACUUAUAGAUGGAUCCGCGCUGCAUUGGCUAGUUGGUAAGGUAACGGCUUACCAAGGCAACGAGGCAUAGCCGACCUGAGGGGGUGAUCGCCCACACUGGAACUGAGACACGGUCCAGGCUCCUGCGGUAGGCAGCAGUAGGCAAUCGUCGGCAGUGGGCGGAAGCCUGGCGGAGCAGCGCCACGUGAGUGAUGGAGGUCUUCGGAUCGUAAAACUCUGUUAUUAGGUAAGAACAUAUGUGUAAGUAACUGUGCACAUCUUGACGGUACCUAAUCAGAAAGCCACGGCUAACUACGUG
rnacentral:rRNA from 1 species